rnacentral:rRNA from 1 species
GAUCAUGGCUCAGAACGAACGCUGGCGGCAUGGAUUAGGCAUGCAAGUUGAACGAACUCCUUCGGGAGUGAGUAGCGGAAGGGUGAGGAACGCGUGAGUAAUCUGCCCCCCAGUUGGGAAUAACAGUUGGAAACGACUGCUAAUACCGAAUGUGGCUUAAGCUUCGCCUGGAGCUUUGGCUAAAGAUUUAUCGCUGGGGGAUGAGCUCGCGUCCCAUUAGGUAGUUGGUGAGGUAACGGCUCACCAAGCCGACGAUGGGUAGCUGGUCUGAGAGGAUGGUCAGCCACACUGGGACUGAGACACUGCCCAGACUCCUACGGGAGGCUGCAGUCGAGAAUCUUGGGCAAUGCGCGAAAGCGUGAACCCCAGCAAUGCCGCGUGUAUGAUGAAGGCCCUCGGGUCGUAAAGUACUGUCUCCCGUGACGAAAUUUGACGGUAGCGGGGAAGGAAGCCACGGCUAACUACGUGCCAGCCGCAGC